UAUCAAUAGUUCAUUACUUUAAUUAUCCUUUUCCUACAAAACAAACUCACAAACCUCUCUGCUCUUCCUCCAUCAAUGGCGUCCUCCCUUUUACUAUCACUCCCUUUUCUCUCUCCUCAUCCUCGAAACCCUAAACCCCCAAUUCCCAUUUCCAAACCCUUAAUUUCUCUCUCCUCUCCCUCAAUUCCCCGCAAAUUCAGUAUCCCAAUCCACGUCACCCCAAAUCCUCUGCAAUUCCGACAUCGGAGUCGAAGAUUACUUGUCGGGAAUUCCAUCGGAGAAUCCGAUGAAGAUUCCGAUGAUAUUCUUGUCGGAGAAGAUGCCGCUGUUUUCGAGCUGAGCGACCAGAAGCUAACUUCUUGGGUUUACUUCACUGUGAUUUUGGGUGUUGUGUUGUUCGCCCUUAAUUAUCUUUGGAUUGAUAAUUCUACUGGAUUUGGCAAGUAUCUCAUUGAUGCUCUUGAGAGUGUCUUCCAAAGCCCUGAGGUUGUGCUGCUGAGCCUAAUAGUCAUAUUUGCUUCUGUUCAUAGUGGAUUGGCUAGUUUUAGGAAUGUGGGUGAGAAAAUUAUAGGGGAACGUGCCUUCCGUGUCCUAUUUGCUGGAGUAUCGCUUCCAUUAGCUGUUAGCACUGUGGUUUAUUUCAUAAACCACAGAUAUGACGGGAUACAAUUAUGGCAGCUCCAAAGUGUUCCUGGAGUACAUCAGCUUGUGUGGUUAUCUUCUUUCAUCUCCUUCCUUUUUCUCUAUCCUUCAACCUUCAAUUUGUUGGAAGUAGCAGCAGUUGACAAGCCCAAAUUGCACCUUUGGGAAACAGGAAUCAUGAGAAUUACUCGCCAUCCACAGAUGGUUGGACAGGCAAUCUGGUGUCUGGCUCACACUGUUUGGAUUGGGAACUCUGUGGCAGUUGCUGCCUCCAUUGGCUUGAUUGGACAUCAUUUAUUUGGCGUUUGGAAUGGGGAUAGAAGGUUAUCUUUACGUUACGGGGAUGCUUUUGAGAUUGUGAAGAAACAAACAAGUGUAAUUCCAUUUGCUGCUAUAAUUGAUGGACGUCAAAGGCUGCCAAAAGAUUACUACAAAGAAUUUAUUCGGUUGCCAUAUAUAGCAGUGACUGUUGUCACCCUGGGUGCUUAUUUUGCUCACCCACUUAUGCAGUCAGCCAGUUUUCGACUUCACUGGUAGGAAUUACUGGGUAAUUUUCAAUGAACAGGUGAGUAGGUGGCAAUACUUGGUGUGAUCAUUGACCAGACAAGCAUGUUAAGAGAGAGAGAGACACCAUCUUUCUUGGGCUCAAACAGAGUAUUGCAGGAUGUUUCUUUGGGUAAAUUGCUUGCUUGCACUAAAGAGAAAUGUCGAAGACUUGUCUGAGGAGAACUGGAUAUGAUAUUUCACAAUUUUUGAAAGGAUGAUGCAGCAACUGUUUGCCUUCCAUUGCAGCUUAAGGUGUGAAUUGCAUCUCUAUGUUCAACAGUCACAAGGCUCUCCUAGCAGUAAGCGGCUCUAUUAUUCCACUUUAUAUUCAGAAGUCACAAGGCCUCCUAGCUGUAAGACUGAUGACAGUGAUGUUGUCUGAUCUGAUAAUGACUUGAUUGGUAUGAGAAUACUACCACGUUGGGAAGUUGUCAAAAUGGAAUAAUGGAUCUGCAUUCAGCAAAUUAGAGUCUGGCCAACUUGGUUAAUAAAAUUGUGUACAAGGGAGGAAUACAAAUGAGGGAAAAACUUUUUUGCACAUGAGUUCGCCCUUUCAGUUUAUGCAUAACAUAACACAAUAUACAGGUUUUUUUUUCAGGUUUCCUGGCUGAUUGAUUUUCUUUGAAGAAUCCGGUCAGGAACUGGCGCUAAAUGAAUCACGUCACGGCUCCUAUUCUGUCCGCGCACAUCAUUGUACCGACUUGAUCCUGAAAAUUAGUUGCUGAUAGAGAAUGUAUGGUCUUAAACUCUAGCUAGUUUGUGUUAAGAUAAGGUUAUCACAUGGUUUCCUGAUUGAGAAAUGCUCUAAAUGAAUAUCUUUCAGAAAGUGUGCUGUGUAAUAAUCUUAAUAUAGAGCAAUAUGAAAAUAUCUGAAUUCUGGAACAAGCUAAUUGAGUAUGACUGGUAAGUGCCUAAGUGGUAUGUGAACUUGGGAAGUACCUUGUUUUAGUCUAUUUGUGUUGAAUGGGAUUCAAAAUUUUUCAUAUGUAGCAUUUCCGAGGUACUGGUUAAUAAGACAGUAGCUCUUUUUUUUUUUUUUUUUUUUUUUUUUUUUUAACAAAUUGGCUUAUGCUAAAACAUUUCCAAUGUGUAAUGUAUUGUAAUUAAUCUUGCCACAUUAAUUUUUUAAUCUACGUUGUAUAAUCCUAUUUCUAGCUACAAAAUAUUCCAAUGGAUUCUUACAGGGCCUAAAACAUGUU